CUUGACCGCUGGCGGCAGGCCUAACACAUGCAAGUCGAGCGGAGCGGCGGACGGGUGAGUAAUGCCUAGGAAUCUGCCUGGUAGUGGGGGAUAACGUCCGGCAACGGGCGCUAAUACCGCAUACUAUCAGAUGAGCCUAGGUCGGAUUAGCUAGUUGGUGGGGUAAUGGCCUACCAAGGCGACGAUCCGUAACUGGUCUGAGAGGAUGAUCAGUCAGACUGGAACUGAGACACGGUCCAGACUCCUACGGGAGGCAGCAUUGGGGAAUAUUGGACAAUGGGCGAAAGCCUGAUCCAGCCAUGCCGCGUGGGUGAAGAAGGUCUGCGGAUUGUAAAGCACUUUAAGUUGGGAGGCGUUACCAGCAGAAUGAGCACCGGCUAACUUCGUGCCAGCAGCCGCGGUCAUAC
rnacentral:rRNA from 1 species